UACAGAGGGUGCAAGCGUUAAUCGGAAUUACUGGGCGUAAAGCGCGCGUAGGUGGUUCGUUAAGUUGGAUGUGAAGUCCCCGGGCUCAACCUGGGAACUGCAUUCAAAACUGUCGAGAUAGAGUAUGGUAGAGGGUGGUGGAAUUUCCUGUGUAGCGGUGAAAUGCGUAGAUAUAGGAAGGAACACCAGUGGCGAAGGCGACCACCUGGACUGAUACUGACACUGAGGUGCGAAAGCGUGGGGAGCAAACAGG
rnacentral:misc_RNA from 1 species